rnacentral:lncRNA from 1 species
CCUCUACUAGUUGUGCUUUCCAGAAGUUAGGGACGCCCGUCCUAGCAGGGAUCAUCUUCCGUAUUUCUUGGAAUCCUACCCGUAAAACUUUAGGGACCAGACAAGUUAAUGUCUCACAAAACGGGGGAUCCGGACCCAGAUUCUCCAGCUUCCAAUCUUGUCCUCUUUCCGUUGCACCACACUGAAUGGAAGUGUGAGGUUAAGCACUGGCAGAAAAGUGUUUCUUUAAGAUCUUCAACCACAGCAUGGAAAAAUGACCCUGUUCUUUAAAAGAUGCUAACAGAGUACCAAGUUCUUCCAAAAUGGAUUGUGAAUAUGGGCCAGCCAGGCCAAAAAAGGACUUGGCAUCAGUUCAAGAAGGCUUACUAACAGAAGGCUGGCCACUAGGUGACCUUUUUUUUUUUUUUUUUAACCACUGAAACUAAAGACUAUUCUUUGCAUCAACAGAAGCUGCCAUACUCAUGAAAUAAUACAUUUUUAAGUAAUGCAGUUAUUCAUCAAAAAAAAUGUAACCCCAUCUCUCUUGACUUGCUAAAACAAAUCUAACCAAAAACUGGUCCUCACCCUUUCCUUAUGUGAAUAGGAAAAACAGUGCUUUUUCCUUCAACUGGACUCAUUCUUCCAAUUUCACGCAGUGUUUUUCCUCUGUGUGUGUGUAGCUUGUAACCAAGACCAGAAAACAAGAGUAUGAAACUCUACACAAUAAUCUAAAUACAUUAGAUACAUAAUACAUGAACAAUUGAGUUUUCCUACCCAGAAGAAAUAAGGAUGUUUGGGAAUGGGAAAUCAAGGUCAAGGUUUUCCAUACAAAGUUCCAACUUCAUCUCCACUUGAAUUGAAAUGAACCUUGGCAGUUUUUUCUCCCUACUGGAAAACCAGAAGAAAAAAUAUGUAUGUAUACACCACACUUAGCCCUGAUAUUUUAAUGGAAUUACUGCACUACAGUCAAGUUUACAACAUUUUUUUUAUAGAAAUCACACAGAAAGGUGGCCAAAGUCACAGUACAGAAUACAAAAAGUGAUUCAAAAUAAAAGGAAAAUUUUGCUAUCUUACAGGCUACAAACAGAGCUUGGAGCUCCAAUGUUAGACAUCAGGAAGAAUGAAAAAGCCAAGUGUAUUACCCAACCUUGCUUACACAAAGCUUCCUUAUGUUUAUCUACAUAUUUAAAAAUAAAAUGUUCUUUUGUGUGUGUUAUGUAUGUAUAUAAAAAAAAAAAAUCAGGUGCAGGGGAUGCUAUA